CGGGGCGUGGCGCAGCCUGGUAGCGCAUUUGCUUUGGGAGCAAAGGGUCGUGUGUUCGAAUCACAUCGCCCCGACCA
rnacentral:tRNA from 1 species